rnacentral:rRNA from 1 species
AAGCGGAGGAAAAGAAACCAACAGGGAUUGCCCUAGUAACGGCGAGCGAAGCGGCAACAGCUCAAAUUUGAAAUCUGGCUACUUUGUAGUCCGAGUUGUAAUUUGUAGAGGAUGCUUUUGGUGAGGUGCCUUCCGAGUUCCCUGGAACGGGACGCCAGAGAGGGUGAGAGCCCCGUACGGUUGGAUACCAAACCUUUGUAUAGCUCCUUCAACGAGUCGAGUAGUUUGGGAAUGCUGCUCUAAAUGGGAGGUAUAUCUCUUCUAAAGCUAAAUAUAGGCUAGAGACCGAUAGCGCACAAGUAGAGUGAUCGAAAGAUGAAAAGCACUUUGAAAAGAGAGUUAAACAGCACGUGAAAUUGUUGAAAGGGAAGCGCCUAUGACCAGACUUGUUUCUUUCAGUUUUGUUAGUUCUCGGACUGAUUUACUCUGUUAGUACAGGCCAGCAUCAGUUUGUUGUCGGGGAGAAAGGCUUAGGGAAUGUGGCUCCUUCGGGAGUGUUAUAGCCCUUUGCAUAAUACCCUUCGGCAGACUGAGGACCGCGCUUCGGCAAGGAUGCUGGCGUAAUGGUCAUCAGCGACCCGUCUUGAAACACGGACCAAGGAGUCAACCUUAUGUGCGAGUGUUUGGGUGUAAAACCCCAGCGCGUAAUGAACGUGAACGUAGGUGAGAGCUUCGGCGCAUCAUCGACCGAUUCUGAUGUUCUCGGAUGGAUUUGAGUAAGAGCACACAGGGUUGGACCCGAAAGAAGGUGAACUAUGCUUGUAUAGGGUGAAGCCAGAGGAAACUCUGGUGGAGGCUCGCAGCGGUUCUGACGUGCAAAUCGAUCGUCAAAUAUGAGCAUGGGGGCGAAAGA